rnacentral:rRNA from 1 species
UGAAAAGGCCAUGCCACCCUGAACAAGCCCGAUCCCGUCUGAUCUCGGAAGCCAAGCAGGGUCGGGCCUAGUUAGUACUUGGAUGGGAGACCACCUAGGAAGACCAGGAGCUGUGAGUG